CGGGCUGUAGCUCAGUUGGCUAGAGCGCCUGGUUUGGGACCAGGAGGUCGUGGGUUCGAGUCCCACUAGCCCGA
rnacentral:tRNA from 1 species